rnacentral:rRNA from 1 species
GUCAGCAUACUGCCGUGAAUACGUUCCCGGGCCUUGUACACACCGCCCGUCACACCAUGAGAGUUGGGAAUACCCGAAGCCUGUGAGCUAACGUUAAGAGGCAGCAGUCGAAGGUAGAAUCAAUGAUUGGGGUGAAGUCGUAACAAGGUACC